UGAUCAUGGCUCAGGACGAACGCUGGCGGCGUGCCUAAUACAUGCAAGUCGAGCGGACAGAAGGGAGCUUGCUCCCGGAAGUCAGCGGCGGACGGGUGAGUAACACGUAGGUAACCUGCCCCUUAGACUGGGAUAACUCCGGGAAACCGGAGCUAAUACGGGAUAAUAAAGAGAAUCACCUGAUUCUCUUUUGAAAGACGGUUUCGGCUGUCACUAAGGGAUGGGCCUGCGGCGCAUUAGCUAGUUGGUAAGGUAACGGCUUACCAAGGCGACGAUGCGUAGCCGACCUGAGAGGGUGAUCGGCCACACUGGGACUGAGACACGGCCCAGACUCCUACGGGAGGCAGCAGUAGGGAAUCUUCCGCAAUGGACGAAAGUCUGACGGAGCAACGCCGCGUGAGUGAGGAAGGCCUUCGGGUCGUAAAGCUCUGUUGUGAGGGAAGAACAAGUACCGGCGUAACUACCGGUACCUUGACGGUACCUCACCAGAAAGCCACGGCUAACUACGUGCCAGCAGCCGCGGU
rnacentral:rRNA from 2 species